rnacentral:rRNA from 1 species
GAUGAACGCUGGCGGCGUGCCUAAUACAUGCAAGUCGAGCGAACAGACGAGGAGCUUGCUCCUCUGACGUUAGCGGCGGACGGGUGAGUAACACGUGGAUAACCUACCUAUAAGACUGGGAUAACUUCGGGAAACCGGAGCUAAUACCGGAUAAUAUAUUGAACCGCAUGGUUCAAUAGUGAAAGACGGUUUUGCUGUCACUUAUAGAUGGAUCCGCGCCGCAUUAGCUAGUUGGUAAGGUAACGGCUUACCAAGGCAACGAGGCGUAGCCGACCUGAGAGGGGGAUCGGCCACCCGGGAACGGAGACGCGGUCCAGACACCUACGGGAGGAGGAGGAGGGGAAUCUUCCGCAAUGGGCGAAAGCCUGACGGGGCAACGCCACGUGGGUGAUGAAGGUCUUCGGAUCGUAAAACUCUGUUAUUAGGAAAGAACAAAUGUGUAAGUAACUAUGCACGUCUUGACGGUACCUAAUCAGAAAGCCACGGCUAACUACGUG